UAAUACGUAGGUGGCAAGCGUUGUCCGGAUUUACUGGGCGUAAAGGGAGCGUAGGCGGAUACUUAAGUGGGAUGUGAAAUACCUGGGCUUAACUUGGGUGCUGCAUUCCAAACUGGGUGUCUAGAGUGUUGGAGAGGAAAGUGGAAUUCCUAGUGUAGCGGUGAAAUGCGUAGAGAUUAGGAAGAACACCAGUGGCGAAGGCGACUUUCUGGACAAUAACUGACGCUGAGGCUCGAAAGCGUGGGGAGCAAACAGGAUUAGAUACCCUGGUAGUCCACGCCGUAAACGAUGGGUACUAGGUGUAGGGGGUAUCGACUCCCCCUGUGCCGCCGUUAACACAAUAAGUACCCCGCCUGGGGAGUACGGUCGCAAGAUUA
rnacentral:rRNA from 1 species